rnacentral:rRNA from 1 species
GCAAGUCGAACGAUGAAGCCCAGCUUGCUGGGUGGAUUAGUGGCGCACGGGUGAGUAAUAUAUAGAUAACGUGCCUCUUAGUCUGGGAUAGCCAUUGGAAACGAUGAUUAAUACUAGAUACUCCUUCUCAUUCUAAUAUGAGUCGGGAAAGUUUUUCGCUAAGAGAUCGGUCUAUACCCCAUCAGCUUGUUGGUAAGGUAACGGCUUACCAAGGCAAUGACGGGUAGCGGGUUUGAGAGGAUGAUC